UCGCCGUCUGGGAGCGGCGUUGCUCCGGCCUGGAGCCCGUCGGCCUCCUCUCCUUCCCCUCGUCUCAACUUUAGACGCCUCAUCGCCUAGGUUCUCCCUCUCCCUCUUGAUUUACCCCAAAUCUAUCAAAUCGAACCGAGCCCUAACUUUUCAAAGUCAGAACUCGCCGUCGCCGCUGCGAUCUCCGGCUCUCUCGUUCGUCGGCAAGCGGUUGCUGCUCGAAUCUGAAAGUUGGUUUAUCUCCUCGACCUCUCUCAUAAUUGAUCGGCGUCAGCUUUAUCUUCCUCAGUUGUUCAGCCGCCAU
rnacentral:lncRNA from 1 species